GUCCCUCAAGUUCUUCACAGAGGAUGGGGCGAUCAACUGAUCUGGGCUCAAACCUACGAGGAAGCACUGCACUGGUCCAGAUCAAAGAACAGGCCUCUGAUGGUCAUUCAUCACCUCGAUGAUUGUCCACACAGUCAGG